rnacentral:rRNA from 1 species
GCGGAGGAAAAGAAACCACCAGGGAUUGCCUCAGUAGCGGCGAGUGAAGCGGCAAAAGCUCAAAUUUGAAAUCUGGCGUCUUUGGCGUCCGAGUUGUAAUUUGAAGAAGGUAUCUUUGGGCCCGGCUCUUGUCUAUGUUCCUUGGAACAGGACGUCACAGAGGGUGAGAAUCCCGUGCGAUGAGAUGACCCGGGUCUGUGUAAAGUUCCUUCGACGAGUCGAGUUGUUUGGGAAUGCAGCUCUAAGUGGGUGGUAAAUUCCAUCUAAAGCUAAAUAUUGGCGAGAGACCGAUAGCGAACAAGUACAGUGAUGGAAAGAUGAAAAGAACUUUGAAAAGAGAGUGAAAAAGUACGUGAAAUUGUUGAAAGGGAAGGGCUUGAGAUCAGACUUGGUAUUUUGCAUGCUGCUCUCUCGGGGGCGGCCGCUGCGGUUUACCGGGCCAGCAUCGGUUUGGAGCGGCAGGAUAAUGGCGGAGGAAUGUGGCACGGCUUCUGCUGUGUGUUAUAGCCUCUGACGAUACUGCCAGCCUAGACCGAGGACUGCGGUUUUUACCUAGGAUGUUGGCAUAAUGAUCUUAAGUCGCCCGUCUU